GGGACUGUGGCUCAUUGGUAGAGUGCUUGCCUCACAUGUGUGAGGCACUGAGUUCGAUUCUUAGCACCA
rnacentral:tRNA from 1 species